GACGGAGGAUGCAAGCGUUAUCCGGAAUGAUUGGGCGUAGAGCGUCCGCAGGUGGCAGUUCAAGUCUGCUGUCAAAGACCGGGGCUUAACUUCGGAAAGGCAGUGGAAACUGAACAGCUAGAGUAUGGUAGGGGCAGAGGGAAUUCCUGGUGUAGCGGUGAAAUGCGUAGAUAUCAGGAAGAACAUCGGUGGCGAAGGCGCUCUGCUGGACCAUAACUGACACUCAGGGACGAAAGCUAGGGGAGCGAAUGGG
rnacentral:rRNA from 1 species